CACUGUCUGGACGGUGGGGUCGCGCCCUGUGGCGGCCCCGCGAUGUGCGCGGUGCGGGGGGUGGGGUCGCGCCCCGUGGCGGCCCC
rnacentral:tRNA from 1 species